UUGAACGCUGGCGGCAUGCUUUACACAUGCAAGUCGAACGGUAGACCCUUUCGGGGGUUGAGAGUGGCGAACGGGUGAGUAAUGCAUCGGAACAUACCCAGUCGUGGGGGCUAACGUAGCGAAAGUUACGCUAAUACCGCAUGAGUCCUGAGGGAGAAAGCGGGGGAUCGCAAGACCUCGCGCGAUUGGAGUGGCCGAUGUCAGAUUAGCUAGUUGGUGGGGUAAAGGCCUACCAAGGCGACGAUCUGUAGCGGGUCUGAGAGGAUGAUCCGCCACACUGGGACUGAGACACGGCCCAGACUCCUACGGGAGGCAGCAGUGGGGAAUUUUGGACAAUGGGCGAAAGCCUGAUCCAGCCAUGCCGCGUGCGGGAAGAAGGCCUUCGGGUUGUAAACUCCUUUUAUAUGUCAAGAAAAUGACGGUAGCAUAUGAAUAAGCACCGGCUAACUCCGU
rnacentral:rRNA from 1 species